GGGGAAUUAGCUCAGCUGGCUAGAGCGGUUGGUUCGCAAUCAACAGGCCGCGGGUUCGAAUCCCGCAUUCUCCA
rnacentral:tRNA from 1 species